CAAUUUUCCAGGCCAAAGGAACACCCCCUGGACCUGAUGGGGCACAGGAACACAAAGGACAUAAACCAAUCAGAACAUACAGACAGUCUGUGACACGCCCAUGUAAAGCACACAAUCCCUCCCCUCUGCUAACGAGAUUAUUAAGUAAAGUUCUGUAAGUAACUCAAUUAUCUCCAGGCAGAAAAACCACAUUUCAGAAAGUACCCCAAAACAUAACAUAUCCCCAUAAUCACAUCCCAUGAUAGCCCUGAUCUGGGUGAACAACAUAUCCAAAAAUCACCCAGAUCAGAGCAGGGGUUCAGGAAAUUCCUGAAAGUCAUAGUUUUGACCGACCACAUGCAUGGCCCCAUGCCCAAAACAGUUCCAG